rnacentral:rRNA from 1 species
GACGAACGCUGGCGGCGUGCCUAAUACAUGCAAGUAGAACGCUGAAGAGAGGAGCUUGCUCUUCUUGGAUGAGUUGCGAACGGGUGAGUAACGCGUAGGUAACCUGCCUUGUAGCGGGGGAUAACUAUUGGAAACGAUAGCUAAUACCGCAUAACAAUGGAUGACACAUGUCAUUUAUUUGAAAGGGGCAAUUGUUCCACUACAAGAUGGACCUGCGUUGUAUUAGCUAGUAGGUGAGGUAAUGGCUCACCUAGGCGACGAUACAUAGCCGACCUGAGAGGGUGAUCGGCCACACUGGGACUGAGACGCGGCCCAGACUCCUACGGGAGGCAGCAGAAGGGGAUCUUAGGCAAUGGGGGCAACCCUGACCGAGCAACGCCGCGUGAGUGGAGAAGGUUAUCGGAUCGUAAAGCUCUGUUGUAAGUCAAGAACGGGUGUGAGAGUGGAAAGUUCACACUGUGACGGUAGCUUACCAGAAAGGGACGGCUAACUACGUG